GUCAGGAUGGCCGAGCGGUCUAAGGCGCUGCGUUCAGGUCGCAUUCUCCUCUGGAGGUGUGGUUUUAAAUCCCACAUCUGACA
rnacentral:tRNA from 1 species